UUCGACGCGUUUAAGAGGAAUAGUAGGAAUAUGCCCCGUGAGCAUACAGAGAGUUGACGGCAGGUGCAAGUCAACCCGGGAUCGUCCGAACUCGCCUCUCAGCACUCACCGUGAAGGCCAUUUUUGAAUGGCUGCGUAAGGGUGGGCGGCUCAUCCCCGUUACGGAUUUAAGUGGGUGGAUGCUGUGCAUUCGCCAAUGUGGGUGGUACCGCGGGAGUAUAAACAAACCUCUCGUCCCUUUC
rnacentral:ncRNA from 1 species